rnacentral:lncRNA from 1 species
GACUUUUAUACCCUGGAGCACCUGGAUUGUUAAAAUAUGUGUAACGAUGAAAGCGUGACCCCUGCCAACCUGUCUGCAGACGGGCUGUGUCAGUGCCAGGACAGAGCUGAGAAGGGCCCCCUUGGCCUUCCUGCCCCGACAGAUGUGGAAGGGUGCCCAUGUCUACGAGGGCUUCCCAUGCGUAUGCACACCAGAGGCACUGCCUGUGAAGUCGCUUCCAACAGCCCCCUUGUCCGAAGCACCAAGGACCCGGAAAGGACCCAGGAUCUGCUUUGGUGGCCUCCCAC